UGGGGAAUUUUGGACAAUGGGCGCAAGCCUGAUCCAGCCAUGCCGCGUGUCUGAAGAAGGCCUUCGGGUUGUAAAGGACUUUUGUCAGGGAAGAAAAGGCUGUUGCUAAUACCGACAGCUGAUGACGGUACCUGAAGAAUAAGCACCGGCUAACUAUGUGCCAGCAGCCGCGGUAAUACGUAGGGUGCGAGCGUUAAUCGGAAUUACUGGGCGUAAAGCGAGCGCAGACGGUUACUUAAGCAGGAUGUGAAAUCCCCGGGCUCAACCUGGGAACUGCGUUCUGAACUGGGUGACUAGAGUGUGUCAGAGGGAGGUAGAAUUCCACGUGUAGCAGUGAAAUGCGUAGAGAUGUGGAGGAAUACCGAUGGCGAAGGCAGCCUCCUGGGAUAACACUGACGUUCAUGCUCGAAAGCGUGGGUAGCGAACAGGAUUAGAUACCCUGGUAGUCUACGCCCUAAACGAUGUCAAUUAGCUGUUGGGCAACUUGAUUGCUUAGUAGCGUAGCUAACGCGUGAAAUUGACCGCCUGGGGAGUACGGUCGCAAGAUUA
rnacentral:rRNA from 1 species